rnacentral:rRNA from 1 species
UACGUAGGGGGCUAGCGUUGUCCGGAAUCAUUGGGCGUAAAGGGCGCGUAGGCGGCCAGCGCAGGUCAGUUGUGAAAUCUCCGGGCUUAACUCGGAACGGUCAACUGAUACUGCGCGGCUAGAGUGCAGAAGGGGCAACUGGAAUUCCUGGUGUAGCGGUGAAAUGCGUAGAGAUCAGGAAGAACACCGGUGGCGAAAGCGUUCUGCUAGACCUGUACUGACACUGAGGGACGAAAGCUAGGGGAGCGAAUGGG